UACGGAGGGUGCGAGCGUUAAUCGGAAUUACUGGGCGUAAAGCGCACGUAGGCGGUCAUGUAAGUGGGAUGUGAAACCCCCGGGCUUAACCUGGGACUUGCAUACCAGACUGCAUGGCUAGAGUAUGAGAGAGGGUGGUGGAAUUUCCGGUGUAGCGGUGAAAUGCGUAGAGAUCGGAAGGAACAUCAGUGGCGAAGGCGGCCACCUGGCUUAAUACUGACGCUGAGGUGCGAAAGCGUGGGGAUCAAAC
rnacentral:rRNA from 1 species